GAGGCGGGGUGUCUUGGCCGAAUAGCGGAUUUCUACUCCGCGGGUUGCAGGUUCGAAUCCUGCCGGGAUCGCCA
rnacentral:tRNA from 1 species